rnacentral:lncRNA from 1 species
CCUUUCUCCCUGCCCCAGACCAGGGCUGUGCCCUGCAGCUCCUGCCCAUGGUCCCUGAAAUGCCGGGGCUUUCAUUUCUGUGGGAGAGCAUCCAGGUGCUGGUCCCCACAGAGGAGCUUCCUCCCCACCAGCUCUGCCCAUCCCAGAGGGGACAGCCCUCCUCUGCUUAGCCCUGCACCCAGGGCACAGCCAAGGGCUGAGUGAAGGGGCUGUCUUAGGGCAGGUCUGGGAGCCUCUCUGAAAAAUGCCUCAUGCCAAGGGAACUGGUCUCCUCCCAACGGUGCCCAUCCACAGCAGUGCUGACCACAAGUCAGGGCAGAAGGGCUCAUCCCAGAGCACCCAGCUCUCUGCAGGCUCCUCUUCAGAGGCGUCCCUGACCCAGCUGCAGCCCUACCCCAGGCACAGUGAGGAGGAGGAUGGUCUGGAGCCACCCCAGGGAUCAGAGCUGGGGUGGGGGGAGAAAGAGCUCCAUGUCUCCUGCCUGCAGACCGACAGACAGCGGUGCCACUNNNNNNNNNNNNNNNNNNNNGGGGGCACAUCUGCAGGGCCCUUUCUCCCUGCCCCAGACCAGGGUUGUCCCCUGAAGCUCCUGCUCAUGGUUCCUGAAAUGGUUGGGCCGUGAGGUCUGUGGGAGAGCAUCCAGGUGCUGGUCCCCACAGAGGAGCUUCCUCCCCACCAGCUCUGCCCAUCCCAGAGGGGACAGCCCCUCUCUGCCUGGCCCUGCACCCUGGGGACAUCCAAGGGCUGAGUGAAGGGGCUGUCUUAGGGCAGGUCUGGGAGCCUCUCUGAAAAAUGCCUCGUGCCAAGGGAACUGGUCUCCUCCCCACGGUGCCCAUCCACAGCAGUGCUGACCACAAGUCAGGGCAGCAGGGCUCAUCCCAGAGCACCGCUGCAGGUCUCUGCAGGCUCCUCUUCAGAGGCGUCCCUGACCUGGCUGCAGCCCUACCCCAGGCACAGUGAGGAGGAGGAUGGUCUGGAGCCACCCCAGGGAUCAGAGCUGGGAUGGGGGGAGAAAGAGCUCCAUCUCUCCUGCCUGCAGACCGACAGACAGCGGUGCCACUGAGUGCCAUCAUCAGAGCUGGAAGGACGAGGGCUCUGCUUUGGCCCUGACACCAGCAGCAUGUCAGCCCUGUGACCCCGCACACCCUCCCAUCCUCUGCUCUGCACGACAUCCCUUCUCACUGCCACCACCUACUCUCGUUUCAGAUGUCCCUGUCCUGCCCGGAGGUGACCCAGCAGAUGGCUACGAUGAUGCUGGGGAGGUGUCUGACCCUGGGGAGGAUCCUGUCCCUGGGCAGGGGGACUGGGAAGUGCCCAGGAUACCAGAGGAAGGAGAUGGGCCCAGGGAUGCAGCCACAGGGGGAAGCCUGCGCUCCCAGAGAAGUGCUGGGGACCCUGGAGCUGAGGGAGACACCUCGUCCCCCUUCCCGGGAAGCAUGGGCUAUGACGAUGCUGAAGAGGUGUCUCUGGCAUGUCCCCACGAGGACACCCAGGAUGUGUCACCAGAGCCCCAUGCACAAGGGUCCCAGAGCCCCAGGCCAGCAGAGCCCAGCCCUGCUGAGCAGCUGGGUGCAGCCAGGAGGGAGGAGAGCUCAGUGCCACUGGGAGAGCUGUGAGCACCAGGGAACGGUCUCCCUUUU